rnacentral:rRNA from 1 species
CAGUCGAACGGACUCAUAUUGAAACCUAGUGAUUUAUGAGUUAGUGGCGGACGGGUGAGUAACGCGUGGAUAACCUGCCGUAUACCGGGGGAUAACACUUAGAAAUAGGUGCUAAUACCGCAUAAGCGCACGGCUCCGCAUGGGGCAGUGUGAAAAACUCCGGUGGUAUACGAUGGAUCCGCGUCUGAUUAGCUAGUUGGCGGGGUAACGGCCCACCAAGGCAGCGAUCAGUAGCCGGCCUGAGAGGGUGGACGGCCACAUUGGGACUGAGACACGGCCCAAACUCCUACGGGAGGCAGCAGUGGGGAAUAUUGCACAAUGGGGGAAACCCUGAUGCAGCGACGCCGCGUGAGUGAAGAAGUAUCUCGGUACGUAAAGCUCUAUCAGCAGGGAAGAAAAUGACGGUACCUGACUAAGAAGCCCCGGCUAACUACGUGCCAGCAGCCGCGGUAAUACGUAGGGGGCAAGCGUUAUCCGGAUUUACUGGGUGUAAAGGGAGCGUAGACGGCAGCACAAGUCUGGAGUGAAAUCCCGGGGCUUAACCCCGGAACUGCUUUGGAAACUGUGCGGCUGGAGUGCAGGAGGGGUAAGCGGAAUUCCUAGUGUAGCGGUGAAAUGCGUAGAUAUUAGGAGGAACACCGGUGGCGAAGGCGGCUUACUGGACUGUAACUGACGUUGAGGCUCGAAAGCGUGGGGAGCAAACAGGAUUAGAUACCCUGGUAGUCCACGCCGUAAACGAUGAUUACU